rnacentral:pre_miRNA from 1 species
UAGCUACUCCCUCCGUUUUGAAUUACUUGUCUUGAAUUUGUCUAGAUACGGAUAUAUCUAGACUCAUUUUAGUGCUAGAUACCUCCGUAUCUAGACAAAUCUAAGACAACUAAUUCGGAACGGAGGGAGUAGUAG